AACCCUUGUCCUUAGUUGCCAGCAUUCAGUUGGGCACGUCUAAGGAGACUGCCGGUGUCAAACCGGAGGAAGUGGGGAUGACGUCAAGUCCUCAUGGCCCUUAUGUCCAGGGCUACACACGUGCUACAAUGGCCGGUACAAAGGGGCGCAAGACCGCGAGGUGGAGCAAAUCCCAAAAAACCGGUCUCAGUUCGGAUUGGAGUCUGCAACUCGACUCCAUGAAGUUGGAAUCGCUAGUAAUCGCGUAUCAGCAUGACGCGGUGAAUACGUUCCCGGGCCUU
rnacentral:rRNA from 1 species